rnacentral:pre_miRNA from 1 species
AUCACCUGAAGAUCUUGUUAAAAUGCAGGUUCUGAUUUAGUAGGUCUGAUCUGAGAUUCAGCAUUUCUAAUAAGCUAUCUGGUGAUGCUGA